GAAAGGUAAAGUAGAUUAACUAGCCAGAUCAGAAUGAAGAAAGGUAAAGUAGAUUAACUAGCCAGAACAGAAUGAAGAAAGGUUAUUGUGCAUGAUGUUAUUGUCAACGGUUCUAUUUCAUAUGCAAAACAUUUUAGUCUUUUUUGAAAUUAUUACCUAGAAAAAUACUGUAAUUUGAAUUAUAAUUUAAAUUUGGAGGCCCAAUAUGAUUCAACACUACUGUGCUAAUUUAAGAUAUUUACUUAAAUUAAUCUAUUAAAAAUACAAUUAUUGUAAAAAGGUUAUAUAUAGAUUAUAAUUCACAUGUGUUUGUAUUUAAAAUAAAUAUAGAAAAAGGAAUGGAAUGUGUUACAGAAAGUAGUGAAAUUAAAAUGCAAAAUGAAAGAUGCAUAGUGGAAUUGAAUAUUGACCAAUUAUAAGCAAUGCCCAUUAUGGGAAAGUGCAACCUGAAAGGCCAAAUCUCCAUAUCUAUGUAAAUAAUAUUAUUUCUGUUUUCCAAGAUCCGGACAUUUUUACCACUAUUUUACCCCUUACUUAUUUUCCCGGAGCAACCCUUUGAAAAGCACAAAGGCCAGUGUGGAUCUCAAAACUUCCCAUUUGGUAUGACUAUUACAAAAUGCAGAUUAACAUUAUCAUACCAGAGACUGUUACAAUUGUAUCUUUGUUUUCUAAAGAACAAUAUUUUUUUUUUUUAAAGAAUCAUUUUGUAGGAUGUGUUCUAUGUAAGAGUGAGAUGGACCAAAAUCAUACACAUGUCAAAAAAAAAAAAGAUUACCAACCUAUUGACAUGAGACAUAUCCCUCCCAUCCCGUCAAUCCAGAUAACACAGUACUAUAAGCAUUAUUAUCACAGAAGUAGCAUUUGAGCAGUGACUGAAUGACAAUUCCUUCUAACAAUCCAGAGAUACUGUUUAACUUCAAACUUGUUUCCCACAUUAGUCCAGACCUCAGGAACAGUCGUGAAAAGUGACCAAAUUAUCUGAUGAAACUACUGAGAUGAUAGCCAGUCGUCUGUUGUUAGUCAAUCAUUCUAGUCCUAGUCUGACAGGUUUCCUAUGUCAGGUUCUGAAAGAGAAGCGUUAUAGAGGGACCACAACCUACCCUGGUCCGAAAACAUAGGCCUAUCUUAUAUUAUAUAUAUAUGUAUAUUACUACUGAAAUUAUACUUUUCUUUUUCAUUUUUUUGAAAAAGGAAACAUUAAUUAUCAAGUUGUUUUUCAAUAAAUAAAUAUAUAUAGUAUCAAUCAAAAAUAUGCACACACCUACUCAUUAAAAGGUUUUUCUUUAUUUUUUACAUUGUAUAAUAAUAGUGAAGACGUCAAAACUAUGAAGUAACACAUAUGGAAUCAUGUAGUAACCAAACUGAGAUGAUUUGGGAGGAGUUGGACCUUGGGGGGGAAGGAAAAGAAGCCAACAAGUGCUCAGCAUAUGUGGGAACUUCAAGAUGGUUGGAAAAUCAUUCCAGGUGAAACUGGUUGAGAGAAUGCCAAGGCGAAGUGUGACUACUUAUAUAUUCGUUUAACUCUUUUUUGGUUACUACAUGAUUCCAUAUGUGUUAUUUCAUAGUUUUUCUGCCUUCACUUUUAUUCUACAAUGUAGAAAAUAGUACAAAUAAAGAAAAAACCCUGAAAUGAGUAGAUUUGCCCAAACUGUUGAUUAGUACUGUAUAUAUACAUAUACAUAUACAGUGUGGCAAAUGCAUUCAAUGUGAUUUUCUGGAUUUUUGUUUUAGAUUCCGUCUCUCACAGUUGUACUGUACCUAUGAUAAAAAUUACAGACCUCUACGUGCUUUGUAAGUAGGAAAACCUGCAAAAUCGGCAGUGUAUCAAAUACUUGUUCUCCCCACUGUGUAGACCGAUUAGUACUAUAUAUAUACAUAUACAUAUCUAGACCGAUUAUAUAGUAAUCCAAGCAAAUUAUCAAAGUUGUGUUUCUAUAAAGAUUAAACUAGUUUGUUUCCAUGGCAGCGACAAAUGACAAAGAUCUGGUUUAAAUGAGUCAUUUUAGUCUCUGCAAAGAAUAUAAAACUAAAAUGUGCAAUGAAUUAAGGUUCCCAUUAAUUUUGUAUAAAGUUACCAUACUGCAGUUUUCUGUCUUAAAUGAUGUUGUAAAACUCUACUGUGUUAUACAUGUAACUGUGAAUGUCCAUAUGAGGUUUUUUUUGUCUAAAUGUUGAAAAAAAUCUGCUAUUAUUUGCUGUUUUCUGCAAUAAUAGGAUUAUUUCAGAAACUAAAGCACAUAGAUCUUAUAUUAUAUCUUUCUGAAAUGUAAAAAAAAAAAAAUAGAUGGCAAUAACAAUAAUAGUAUAAUAAUUAAAUCAUAGAUACACUUGUCUAGUCAAAGAAUCUUGUUUUGUAUAUUUCUACCAGUCUCAUGGGCCUAAUGUAAAAUAUUCUAUGUACAAUAUAUAAUACAUGUCGUUAGAUGGUGUUAUAUGAAAAAGCACGAUUGCCAUAUAUGUUAUCUGCAGAAGUAAAUAAAGAACUAUAGAUUAUAAUGUGUGCUUUCAUCAUGUAUAUAUUUUUUUAUGGGGGAAAUAUUUGUAUUUUAUAUAUAUAUUUUUUUACAGCUGAAUUAUUUC
ensembl:lncRNA